UACACGGUUUGCGAAGUGAUUUCCCUGCCUAUACAAAACGGAAACGACGAUUACCUAAAGUGGAUCAGCGAGGUGGUGCCACCGCUUGAUAAAAGCGCUUAAAAUAAUUAAGAUACAUGAGUAAGAUUCUCUCAACGAUUCGUCGGAAAAAUCAUUUUACUUCGCUUAUAUCCUUAUGAAGCUAUCUUACGUUAGAAUAAAAAAGCUAUGAUUACUUGUAAGUAUACAAUUAGACACAAUCUCUGUAAAGUGUGAGGUUUGCAUUGAAAGUUCAAAUUCUUCACUUACAUUAUUAGAACACACUAAGACAUGCCAAGUGAUAUCGAUCAAUCAGUCUUACGGUGUUAUUCGCACAUAUAUUUAUAUUCUUAAACUCACAUUUGUUUAUGCAAUAAAACGUAAAGAUUUAAUUUUCAA